AGAUGAAGAAGAUGAAGGCGAUCCAUCUCCAAGCUUCAAUCUCCACCAAUUUCAUCAAUUUUGGGAGAGAAUUAGAGAGAGAAAAGAGAGGUUUCUCCUUUCCUUUCCAUGCGUGUGUUGUGUGUGUGCGUGCGGGUGUGUGCGGCUGAAGGAGGGGAAGAAGAAGCACAUGCUUCUUAUAUACAUUACACCCCAAAACACUAUUCACUUCAGGCAGUUUUUGCAGUUCGGAACAGUUGGAGCCCUUCUGAAUGUCCGUUUGAGCUCAAAUUUGACAGGCAGGCUCAGUUUAACGUACUGAGUAAGAAUAUAUUUUAAGUUUUCAGUUUCGACCCCAUUUGGUCACCGAAAACUGUGCCGAACUGUAAUCUUUAUCAGAUAACUCUCGGAUUUUAUUUCUCACUCUACGGGUGUCAGAAAAAUAUGAAACUUUAAAUCUAGCCUCAUAAAAAUAUUUCUGACUUAUCCUCCAAUUUUCAUAAUUUUCUGAGACUGUGCAUUUUCUGCUAAUUUAUCUGUCCCGUUUCCAACAGAAAAUUCUAAAUUUUCUGUUUUCAUUCCGAUUUCAGCACAAGUCAUUUCUGACUUAUGUUUUACUUCUACAAAUCCAAUAAAAAUAGUUUCUCACACUAUUUUUAUUUAUUUUUAUUUUUAUACCAAAA
rnacentral:lncRNA from 1 species